CUCCAUGUAGAGAAAACUGAAUCUGAGCAGAUGAAGGGAUAUGCUCAGGAUCACAAAGCAAAUUAUUGGCAGAGACGGGGUUUCACCAUGUUAGCCAGGAUGGUCUUGAUCUCCUGACCACCUGAUCCACCCGCCUCAGCCUCCCAAAGUGCUGGGAUUACAGGUGUGAGCCACUGCACCCGGCCUAGAUGCCAAUUUUCUUCCAUCUCUGCCACCUUUGAGACAGCAAGACCAACUCGCCCUCCUCCUCAGCCUACCCAACAUGAAAACAACAAGGAUGAAGACUUUUAUGAUGAUCCACUUUCAUUUAAUGAAUACUAAAUAUAUUUUGUCUUCCAUGUGAUUUCUUAGUAUUUUCUUUUCUCUAGCUUAUUUCAAAGAAU
rnacentral:lncRNA from 1 species